CGCCUCAUGGUGCAGUGGUUAACGCUGCUGUCCCCCAAUCUGUGGUCGCGGGUUCAACCCCCACUGGGGUCA